UGGGGAAUUUUGGACAAUGGGGGAAACCCUGAUCCAGCCAUCCCGCGUGUGCGAUGAAGGCCUUCGGGUUGUAAAGCACUUUUGGCAGGAAAGAAACGUCAUGGGUUAAUACCCCGUGAAACUGACGGUACCUGCAGAAUAAGCACCGGCUAACUACGUGCCAGCAGCCGCGGUAAUACGUAGGGUGCAAGCGUUAAUCGGAAUUACUGGGCGUAAAGCGUGCGCAGGCGGUUCGGAAAGAAAGAUGUGAAAUCCCAGAGCUCAACUUUGGAACUGCAUUUUUAACUACCGGGCUAGAGUGUGUCAGAGGGAGGUGGAAUUCCGCGUGUAGCAGUGAAAUGCGUAGAUAUGCGGAGGAACACCGAUGGCGAAGGCAGCAGCCUGGGAUAACACUGACGCUCAUGCACGAAAGCGUGGGGAGCAAACAGG
rnacentral:rRNA from 1 species